GGAAUAUUGGUCAAUGGGCGCAAGCCUGAACCAGCCAUGCCGCGUGCGGGAUGACGGUCCUAUGGAUUGUAAACUGCUUUUGUACAGGAAGAAACACUCGGACGUGUCCGAGCUUGACGGUACUGUAAGAAUAAGGAUCGGCUAACUCCGUGCCAGCAGCCGCGGUAAUACGGAGGAUCCAAGCGUUAUCCGGAAUCAUUGGGUUUAAAGGGUCCGUAGGCGGCUUAAUAAGUCAGUGGUGAAAUCCCUACGCUUAACGUAGGAACGGCCAUUGAUACUGUUAGGCUUGAAUUAUUAGGAAGUAACUAGAAUAUGUAGUGUAGCGGUGAAAUGCUUAGAGAUUACAUGGAAUACCAAUUGCGAAGGCAGGUUACUACUAAUGGAUUGACGCUGAUGGACGAAAGCGUGGGUAGCGAACAGGAUUAGAUACCCUGGUAGUCCACGCCGUAAACGAUGGAUACUAGCUGUUGGGAGCAAUCUCAGUGGCUAAGCGAAAGUGAUAAGUAUCCCACCUGGGGAGUACGUUCGCAAGAAUGAAACUCAAAUGAAUUGACGG
rnacentral:rRNA from 1 species